CCCUGAUCAGCCAUGCCGCGUGUGUGAAGAAGGCCUUUUGGUUGUAAAGCACUUUAAGCGAGGAGGAGGCUUACCUGGUUAAUACCUGGGAUAAGUGGACGUUACUCGCAGAAUAAGCACCGGCUAACUCUGUGCCAGCAGCCGCGGUAAUACAGAGGGUGCAAGCGUUAAUCGGAUUUACUGGGCGUAAAGCGCGCGUAGGUGGCUAAUUAAGUCAAAUGUGAAAUCCCCGAGCUUAACUUGGGAAUUGCAUUCGAUACUGGUUAGCUAGAGUAUGGGAGAGGAUGGUAGAAUUCCAGGUGUAGCGGUGAAAUGCGUAGAGAUCUGGAGGAAUACCGAUGGCGAAGGCAGCCAUCUGGCCUAAUACUGACACUGAGGUGCGAAAGCAUGGGGAGCAAACAGGAUUAGAUACCCUGGUAGUCCAUGCCGUAAACGAUGUCUACUAGCCGUUGGGGCCCUUGAGGCUUUAGUGGCGCAGCUAACGCGAUAAGUAGACCGCCUGGGGAGUACGGUCGCAAGACUAAAACUCAAAUGAAUUGACGGGGGCCCGCACAAGCGGUGGAGCAUGUGGUUUAAUUCGAUGCAACGCGAAGAACCUUACCUGGCCUUGACAUACAGAGAACUUUCCAGAGAUGGAUUGGUGCCUUCGGGAACUCUGAUACAGGUGCUGCAUGGCUGUCGUCAGYUCGUGUCGUGAGAUGUUGGGUUAAGUCCCGCAACGAGCGCAACCCUUUUCCUUAUUUGCCAGCACUUCGGGUGGGAACUUUAAGGAUACUGCCAGUGACAACUGGAGGAAGGGCGGGGACGACGUCAAGUCAUC
rnacentral:rRNA from 1 species